CAUCCCAACCAAAGCUUCCAUUUCCCACCCCACCAAGAAUGCCUCAACCCAGAGCCCCCCGUUUCCCGACUCUCUUCCUCCUCCGCACCCUUCCCCACUCCCACUCCCACCGCCGCAGCAUCUACGACGGCACCCUGAAACCCCUCCGCGACCGCGGCCUGGACCACGCCGUGGAGCGCGAGAAGAAUCUGAAACCCUUACACGCCCUCAAAACCCUCAUCGCCCUCGAACCCUCCAAGUCCCUCCCCCUCUCCCUCCUCAAGCGCUCCCCCCAGCUCCCCUUCCGCCCCAUCGACUUCAUCCGCCAAUACCCCUCCGUCUUCCACGAGUUCCUCCCCACCGCCGCCGCCACCCUCCCCCACGUCCGCCUCACCGCCGAGGCCCUCCGCCUCCACGCCGACGAGCACCUCCUCCUCCACUCCGACGGCUUCAAGCGCCACGCCGCCGACAGGCUCCUCAAGCUCCUCAUGAUCGCCAGAGUCCACAAACUCCCCCUCCCGCUCCUCGACCGCCUCCGCUGGGACCUCGGCCUCCCUCCCGCCUCCGCCGAGACCCUCGCCCCGGAGUUUCCGGACUGCUUCCGGGCCGCCGCCGGCUUCCUCGAGCUCGUCUGCUGGAGCCACGACCUCGCGGUUUCGGUUCUGGAGAACCGAAACCGUGAAAGAAAGGGUGAGUUGCUAUCGCGUGUGGUUUUUCCUGUGCAGUUUUCCAAUGGUUUUGAGAUGGAUAAGAAGUAUGAGAAGUGGUUGAGGGAGUGGCAGCAGGUCCCCUAUGUGUCUCCUUAUGAGAAUGUGUCGCAUUUGAGAGGGUCUAGUGAUGAGUAUGAUAAGUGGGUUGUGGGUGUGUUGCAUGAGAUUCUUCAUGUUUUUGUUGGGAAGAAGGUUGAGAAGGAUUGUUUGUUGGAGCUUGGGGAGUGGUUGGGGUUGAGGGCUAGGUUUAAGAGGGCGAUUUUGCAGCACCCCGGGAUUUUUUAUGUGUCGAGUAAGAGUGGGACGUAUACGGUUGUUUUGAGGGAGGGGUACCGGAGGGGUUCGCUGGUUGAGGAUAAUCCGGUGGUGAGUUUGAGGAACCAGUAUGUUCAUUUGAUGAACAGUGUUAGGGAGGAGGGAAAAGUGGGGAAGGUUGUGCAGGGGAAGGGUGGCGUGGAUGAGGCGAAGGCGAAAGGCGUUGAAGGGGGAGGAGAGGGAGAGGGUGGUGGUGAGAGUGGGGAGGCGAGUGAAGAGGAGGUGGUUGAUGAUGAGGAUGCUAGUGAAAUGGAUGUUGGUGAUGAUGAUGAUGAUAUUGAUGAGAAGAGGUCUCGGAGAGGUGGUGGUAACAUUGGUUCCAGUAGAAGGGGCAGAGAGUUUGGGAAAGUGAAGUUGGAUGUUGACAAGCCUUUGAGAGAUUCACGGAGGGAAAGAUCGCCUUUGAGAGAUUCACGGAGGGAAAGUUCACCUUUGAGAGAUUCACGGAGGGAAAGAUCGCCUUUGAGAGAUUCACGGAGGGAAAGUUCACCUUUGAGAGAUUCACGGAGGGAAAGAUCGCCUUUGAGAGAUUUUCAGAGGGAAAGAUUGCCUUUGAGAGGUUCUCAUAGGGAAAGAUCACCUUUGAGAGAUUCUCAGAGGGAAAGGGGCAGAGAUUUUGGGAAAGUGAAGUUAGAAUCUGACAAGCCUUUAAGAGAUUCACGGAGAGAAAGAUCACCUUUGGGAGAUUCUCAGAGGGAAAGGUCGCCUUUGAGAAAUUCUCGGAGGGAAAGAUCAUUUGGAAAAACCGGGGAGAAGAACUCGUUAGAAUUUUCUAAAAGAAGACAAGUGCGAGGUGCACGUAAAGAUGUUGAUAGUACACACCAGAGAUCAAGGUCCUCUGAAGGCAGGGGAAUGUCAUUAACCAGCAAGAAAGCCCCUGUUUUGUAAAGAUUCAAUUUGUUUCUGGCAACUAAUACAUUUUCUGGUAUGUGGUUCCUUCACUUGGUCCUUCCCUGUUGUAAGUUUGCGAAUUAAGGUUAAUUUUGUUUAUUUGUUUUGUUGUUGCUGCUUUUUCUUUAUUCAAUAUAAUGUUAGGACAAUAGGACCUUUAGUUGAGUGAUGGAUGUGCCCUAUGUUCAUGGGCCAAUUGUUGGUGACUAGCUUUAGUGGCUUUUGUAGCAGCAAAGAGGCUAAUGUUAUGUUGCAAAUGUGUGAUCUAAGCUACUACCUUUUGGCAUAAUUUUAAGGUUUAUUGGUUUAGAAGUUGAUUUUAGGUGAGAUUAGGCAAUUGCUUGUAUUUGGUGUAAAGCACAUUAUCUUUUUAAGGGGGUUUCCUAACAGAAAUGCAUAGAGAUGUUGUAGCUUUACUCCUGUGAUGUCUUCUCCUUUUUAUUGUUUAUUUUCCUUUUUAUUCGUUAUCAAGUGUGCCUUAUAAGCUACAAUAUUUCUAAUUUGUUCUGUUUUAAUGAAUUGGUAAAAAGUAUUCAAUAUAUAAACAAUUAGACAUUCAUCUGGAUAAGUAUGUUCAGUGAGUUACUAAUACUAGGGGAUAAUUACUUCAUUUUAGCACUGUUCUUGAGUUGCAAAAAUUCAUUACUGAGAAUUCUAUUCUAAUGUUUUAACCCCCUCCUAUCCCGGAAAAAUAAAUUACUCUGUUUAUAGUUACCAUCAAGGAAAGGAUGCACUUGCAAUGUGUUGGAGAUUCCAUGUAAUGGCAUCUGCAUCUCAUUCAGUGUGAUAGGGAAAAAAAUUCUUUGAUUGUAUGAACAAUUUAUGUAUAUUUCCAUGUUUAUGGAAAAAAGAGAAAGGGAGAGAGAGGUGAUGUGCUAGAUCCUUAAAUUGAUUGGGUGUUUCACUAUUAGGAGUUAAAUUAUGAAAUGUUCCUUGAAGGUUCUGUUCUAUUGCAUAGAAGAGAUUUUAAGAUCUGGUGGGGAUUGGUCGAAUUUUACCAAGAUGAUGCAGCACUCUUUUAGGUACAUGUUAGUGAGGGGAUGAGUUAGUUAAUUGUUAGAUUCAGUUAGUUCUUGGUAAACUUGUAAUUAGGGGGCUGGAAAAUAAGAAGGCAUAUUGCCUAAAAUUAGGAGGAAAGAUUGAGAGAGGGGGGCUAUUUUGUUCAUUGAGAAGAGUUAAGGUCUUUGGGCAUUGGGAGGUGAAGACUAUCGAAGCUCUGCAAUCAUACUGUAAUAUGGGGAAUUUCCCUAUUUUCUCCAGAAUCCUGAUCCAGUUUCUAUCACACUCAUUGACAUGUGGAUCAUUGUCAUUGAAUAUAAAGAUUGACCAGGACAAAAAGGUCGACCAUUGACAUCGGCCCGAGGCUUAAAGUAGCAGUUGAAGUAGCAAUUGGCCUCUAGUAUGAACCUCAAAGCAGCAAAUAUGUUGUUAGAUACAGAUGACUUGAAUGCACGUAUAAGGCGAUUAGUGAUUAACCUUCACAGAUUUAUGAUUCAGGUUGGAACUAUUUAACAGAUUCCUAAUGGUGGGAUCUUGGGUUAUCAUGCACCAGUGUUGGCUGCCAACGAAUGUCUCUUGUUAUGUGUCUUAUCUGUUAAAAGAGUGAGAAACAUCCAACUGCAUUCAAUGUGGAAAGUUGACUUGGUAAUUAUUAUUAUGGGAAGGAUGGAGUGGGUUGUUCGUGUAUGUCUCUGUCCUUAAAAAAUGCUGUAAUGAUUCAUUUUCAUUGAACCGAAAAUAAAAGCCCUACUCAAUUUGAUUUUUACGGAGGUGACCUCCUCCCAAUUCAA